rnacentral:rRNA from 1 species
GACGAACGCUGGCGGCGUGCCUAAUACAUGCAAGUAGAACGCUGAAGGAGGAGCUUGCUUCUCUGGAUGAGUUGCGAACGGGUGAGUAACGCGUAGGUAACCUGCCUGGUAGCGGGGGAUAACUAUUGGAAACGAUAGCUAAUACCGCAUAAUAUUGACUAUUGCAUGAUAGUCAGUUGAAAGGUGCAACUGCACCACUACCAGAUGGACCUGCGUUGUAUUAGCUAGUUGGUGGGGUAACGGCUCACCAAGGCGACGAUACAUAGCCGACCUGAGAGGGGGAUCGGCCACACUGGGACUGAGACACGGCCCAGACGCCUACGGGAGGCAGCAGGAGGGAAUCUUCGGCAAUGGACGGAAGUCUGACCGAGCAACGCCGCGUGAGUGAAGAAGGUUGUCGGAUCGUAAAGCUCGGUUGUAAGAGAAGAACGAGUGUGAGAGUGGAAAGCUCACACUGUGACGGUAUCUUACCAGAAAGGGACGGCUAACUACGUG